rnacentral:rRNA from 1 species
UACGAAGGGGGCUAGCGUUGCUCGGAAUGACUGGGCGUAAAGGGCGCGUAGGCGGCUUGCACCGUCAGAUGUGAAAUGCCCGGGUUUAACCUGGGAACUGCAUUUGUGACUGCAUGGCUAGAGUUUGGCAGAGGGGGGUAGAAUUCCACGUGUAGCAGUGAAAUGCGUAGAUAUGUGGAGGAACACCGAUGGCGAAGGCAGCCCCCUGGGUCAAGACUGACGCUCAUGCACGAAAGCGUGGGGAGCAAACAGG